rnacentral:rRNA from 2 species
UGGUGACUAUAGCAAGGAGGUCACACCUGUUCCCAUGCCGAACACAGAAGUUAACCUCCUUAGCGUCGAUGGUAGUCGAACUUACGUUCCGCUAGAGUAGAACGUUGCCAGGCA